rnacentral:rRNA from 1 species
UACGAGGGGGGCAAGCGUUGUUCGGAAUUACUGGGCGUAAAGGGCUCGUAGGUGGCCAACUAAGUCAGACGUGAAAUCCCUCGGCUUAACCGGGGAACUGCGUCUGAUACUGGAUGGCUUGAGAUUGGGAGAGGGAUGCGGAAUUCCAGGUGUAGCGGUGAAAUGCGUAGAUAUCUGGAGGAACACCGGUGGCGAAGGCGGCAUCCUGGACCAACACUGACACUGAGGAGCGAAAGCCAGGGGAGCAAACGGG